rnacentral:rRNA from 1 species
GACGAACGCUGGCGGCGUGCUUAACACAUGCAAGUCGAACGGUGAAGGGACUGGUUUUGCUGGUCCUGGAUGAGUGGCGAACGGGUGAGUAACACGUGAGUAACCUGCCCCCUUCUUCUGGAUAACCGCAUGAAAGUGUGGCUAAUACGGGAUAUUCUGGGUCUGUCGCAUGGUGGGCCUGGGAAAGAUUGCGCCUUUUUUGGUGUUUUUGGUGGGGGAUGGGCUCGCGGCCUAUCAGCUUGUUGGUGGGGUGAUGGCCUACCAAGGCUGUGACGGGUAGCCGGCCUGAGAGGGUGGACGGUCACACUGGGACUGAGACACGGCCCAGACUCCUACGGGAGGCAGCAGUGGGGAAUAUUGCACAAUGGGCGCAAGCCUGAUGCAGCGACGCCGCGUGAGGGAUGGAGGCCUUCGGGUUGUGAACCUCUUUCGCCAGUGAAGCAGGCCUGCCUCUUUUUGUGGGUGGGUUGACGGUAGCUGGAUAAGAAGCGCCGGCUAACUACGUG